GACGUCCAUACCACGCUAAAUACUCCGUUUCUCGUCCGAUCACCGAGGUUAAGCAGCGUCGGGCGCGGUCAGUACUUGGAUGGGUGACUGACUGGGAACACCACGUGAUGUU